rnacentral:lncRNA from 1 species
CGUGAAGGGAAACUGUUGGCAAGCCAAAAUAAAUACUGUCACGUGGGACAGUUCAGAAAGACAAGGCUUCAAGAGAAUGGGAGAUGAAGAAACUCUUACUAGUAAUGAAUGGGAAGAGAAACCCAGGAUGUUUAAGAAAGACAAACAAAAACGAAGGUAGAAUUGAUAGCAAUAGUGGUUUGGGAGCAUGGACUACAUUCAGGAAGCCUGCCCUGCACUAGUUCACCUUCUGACAGGAGAUCUACAUCCAUCUUGCCUCUAAGUUCAGAAGGUUUCUGCUGCCUCAAAAGUGAAAGUUUGCAUUGCUCCAGUCCUCUCCCUGGGCUCUUAGCACCAACCCGAGCAUGGAGGUCAGAGGGAAGCACAGAGACUGGAUGGAAACCCACUUGCAAAGGCAAUGCUAUUUCCCCACCACCUUGGGCUGCUAUUCUUGGUCUUCACUCAUAUUCCCCACACUCAAUUCAAGCUGUCCUUCCUGCCCCUCACCAGAUUCUCCCCAUUGCUCUUCUGUUCUUCUCCUUGGUUGUA